rnacentral:rRNA from 1 species
CUGACUGCUAUCGGAUUGAUACUAAGCCAUGCGAGUCAUUGUAGCAAUACAAGGCAGACGGCUCAGUAACGCGUAGUCAAUCUACCCUAUGGACGGGAAUAACCUCGGGAAACUGAGAAUAAUGCCCGAUAGAACAUUAUGCCUGGAAUGGUUUAUGUUUCAAAUGAUUUAUCGCCAUAGGAUGGGACUGCGGCCUAUCAGUUUGUUGGUGAGGUAAUGGCCCACCAAGACUAUUACAGGUACGGGCUCUGAGAGGAGUAGCCCGGAGAUGGGUACUGAGACACGGACCCAGGCCCUAUGGGGCGCAGCAGGCGAGAAAACUUUGCAAUGUGCGAAAGCACGACAAGGUUAAUCCGAGUGGUUUCUGCUAAAGAAACCUUUUGUCAGUCCUAGAAACACUAACGAAUAAGGGGUGGGCAAGUUCUGGUGUCAGCCGCCGCGGUAAAACCAGCACCUCAAGUGGUCAGGAUGAUUAUUGGGCCUAAAGCAUCCGUAGCUCGUUUUGUAAGUUUUCGGUUAAAUCCAUGCGCUUAACGUAUGGGCUGCCGGGAAUACUGCAUAACUAGGAAGUGGGAGAGGUAGACGGUACUCGGGAGGAAGGGGUAAAAUCCUUUGAUCUCUUGAUGACCACCUGUGGCGAAGGCGGUCUACCAGAACACGUUCGACGGUGAGGGAUGAAAGCUGGGGGAGCAAACCGGAUUAGAUACCCGGGUAGUCCCAGCUGUAAACUAUGCAAACUCAGUGAUGCAUUGGCUUAUGGCCAAUGCAGUGCUGCAGGGAAGCCGUUAAGUUUGCCGCCUGGGAAGUACGUACGCAAGUAUGAAACUUAAAGGAAUUGGCGGGGGAGCACCACAAGGGGUGAAGCCUGCGGUUCAAUUGGAUUCAACGCC